AAAUCCGUCGACUUUAGAAAUCGUGAGGGUUCAAGUCCCUCUAUCCCNN
rnacentral:tRNA from 1 species